rnacentral:rRNA from 1 species
GACAGAGGGUGCAAACGUUGCUCGGAAUUACUGGGCGUAAAGCGCGUGUAGGCGGACUGGUGUGUCGGAUGUGAAAUCCCCAGGCUCAACCUGGGAACUGCAUUCGAAACUGCCAGCCUUGAGUGGUGGAGAGGGAAGUGGAAUUCCUGGUGUAGAGGUGAAAUUCGUAGAUAUCAGGAGGAACACCAGUGGCGAAGGCGGCUUCCUGGACACCAACUGACGCUGAGACG